rnacentral:rRNA from 1 species
UUGGACGCUGGCGGCAGGCCUAACACAUGCAAGUCGAGCGGUAGCACAGAGAGCUUGCUCUCGGGUGACGAGCGGCGGACGGGUGAGUAAUGUCUGGGAAACUGCCUGAUGGAGGGGGAUAACUACUGGAAACGGUAGCUAAUACCGCAUAAUGUCGCAAGACCAAAGUGGGGGACCUUCGGGCCUCAUGCCAUCAGAUGUGCCCAGAUGGGAUUAGCUAGUAGGUGGGGUAACGGCUCACCUAGGCGACGAUCCCUAGCUGGUCUGAGAGGAUGACCAGCCACACUGGAACUGAGACACGGUCCAGACUCCUACGGGAGGCAGCAGUGGGGAAUAUUGCACAAUGGGCGCAAGCCUGAUGCAGCCAUGCCGCGUGUGUGAAGAAGGCCUUCGGGUUGUAAAGCACUUUCAGCGGGGAGGAAGGCGUUAAGGUUAAUAACCUUGGCGAUUGACGUUACCCGCAGAAGAAGCACCGGCUAACUCCGUGCCAGCAGCCGCGGUAAUACGGAGGGUGCAAGCGUUAAUCGGAAUUACUGGGCGUAAAGCGCACGCAGGCGGUCUGUCAAGUCGGAUGUGAAAUCCCCGGGCUCAACCUGGGAACUGCAUUCGAAACUGGCAGGCUAGAGUCUUGUAGAGGGGGGUAGAAUUCCAGGUGUAGCGGUGAAAUGCGUAGAGAUCUGGAGGAAUACCGGUGGCGAAGGCGGCCCCCUGGACAAAGACUGACGCUCAGGUGCGAAAGCGUGGGGAGCAAACAGGAUUAGAUACCCUGGUAGUCCACGCCGUAAACGAUGUCGAUUUGGAGGUUGUGCCCUUGAGGCGUGGCUUCCGGAGCUAACGCGUUAAAUCGACCGCCUGGGGAGUAUGGCCGCAAGGUUAAAACUCAAAUGAAUUGACGGGGGCCCGCACAAGCGGUGGAGCAUGUGGUUUAAUUCGAUGCAACGCGAAGAACCUUACCUGGUCUUGACAUCCACAGAACUUUCCAGAGAUGGAUUGGUGCCUUCGGGAACUGUGAGACAGGUGCUGCAUGGCUGUCGUCAGCUCGUGUUGUGAAAUGUUGGGUUAAGUCCCGCAACGAGCGCAACCCUUAUCCUUUGUUGCCAGCGGUUAGGCCGGGAACUCAAAGGAGACUGCCAGUGAUAAACUGGAGGAAGGUGGGGAUGACGUCAAGUCAUCAUGGCCCUUACGACCAGGGCUACACACGUGCUACAAUGGCAUAUACAAAGAGAAGCGACCUCGCGAGAGCAAGCGGACCUCAUAAAGUAUGUCGUAGUCCGGAUUGGAGUCUGCAACUCGACUCCAUGAAGUCGGAAUCGCUAGUAAUCGUAGAUCAGAAUGCUACGGUGAAUACGUUCCCGGGCCUUGUACACACCGCCCGUCACACCAUGGGAGUGGGUUGCAAAAGAAGUAGGUAGCUUAACCUUCGGGAGGGCGCUUACCACUUUGUGAUUCAUGACUGGGGUG